GUAGUCUCGCACAGAUGCAUAUCAAUAAGCGGAGGAAAAGAAACUAACAAGGAUUCCCCUAGUAACGGCGAGUGAAGCGGGAAGAGCUCAAAUUUGAAAUCUUAAAGGGUUUCCCUUUACGAAUUGUAGUUUAAAGAAGUGUUUUCUGUUGAGGUUUUGGUAAUAGUUCUUUGGAAUAGGACAUCAUAGAGGGUGAGAAUCCCGUAUUUGACCUUUACUUUCAACUUUGUGAUACACUUUCGAAGAGUCGGAUUGUUUGGGAAUGCAGUCCAAAAUGGGUGGUAAAUUUCAUCUAAAGCUAAAUAUUGGCGAGAGACCGAUAGCGAACAAGUACCGUGAGGGAAAGAUGAAAAGAACUUUGAAAAGAGAGUUAAACAGUACGUGAAAUUGUCAAAAGGGAAGCGUUUGACACCAGUGUUGUUUUUCUGAAAAUCAAUUAAAGAACUGUUUAUGCUAAGUUGUUUAGACUUUAUCAGCUAUCUGCUUAGUUUUGAGCUUUUCUUUAAUGCACUUUUCAGUUAACAAGUCAACAUCAAUUUCUUUUGCUGUAAAAAAGCUUGAGGAAGGUGGCUUGAGAUUCGUCUUAAGUGUUUAUAGCCUCUUGCCUAUGCAGUCGGAGAGAUUGAGGUCUGCAGCGUAGAUCCUUCGGGGCUAAAUGCAUUUGUGCUAAGUUAUAGCAUUUUAUAGACAACUUGUUGACUAUGAUUUGUCUUGUAGCUUACUCGCUUAUGUUAUUUUACCUACGCUUAGGAUGUUGAACUCUAUCACACACAG
rnacentral:rRNA from 1 species